rnacentral:rRNA from 1 species
UAAGACAUGCAAGUCGAACGGACUUAACCAUUAGUUUACUAUUGGAGCGGUUAGUGGCGGACUGGUGAGUAACACGUAAGCAACCUGCCUAUCAGAGGGGAACAACAGUUAGAAAUGACUGCUAAUACCGCAUAUGCCUUAAUUACCACAUGGUAAUAGAGGGAAAGGAGCAAUCCGCUGAUAGAUGGGCUUGCGUCUGAUUAGAUAGUUGGUAAGGUAACGGCUUACCAAGUCGACGAUCAGUAGCCGGACUGAGAGGUUGAACGGCCACAUUGGGACUGAGAUACGGCCCAGACUCCUACGGGAGGCAGCAGUCGGGAAUAUUGCGCAAUGGAGGAAACUCUGACGCAGUGACGCCGCGUGCAGGAAGAAGGCUUUCGGAUUGUAAACUGCUUUAGACAGGGAAGAAACAAGACAGUACCUGUAGAAUAAGCUCCGGCUAACUACGUGCCAGCAGCCGCGGUAAUACGUAGGGAGCAAGCGUUAUCCGGAUUUAUUGGGUGUAAAGGGUGCGUAGACGGGAAUGCAAGUUGGUUGUGAAAUCCCUCGGCUCAACCGAGGAAUUGCAACCAAAACUAUAUUUCUUGAGUGCUGGAGAGGAAAGUGGAAUUCCUAGUGUAGCGGUGAAAUGCGUAGAUAUUAGGAGGAACACCAGUGGCGAAGGCGACUUUCUGGACAGUAACUGACGUUGAGGCACGAAAGUGUGGGGAGCAAACAGGAUUAGAUACCCUGGUAGUCCACACCGUAAACGAUGGAUACUAGGUGUAGGGGAUGAAUAAUCUUCUGUGCCGUCGCAAACGCAGUAAGUAUCCCACCUGGGGAGUACGGCCGCAAGGUUGAAACUCAAAGGAAUUGACGGGGGCCCGCACAAGCAGUGGAGUAUGUGGUUUAAUUCGACGCAACGCGAAGAACCUUACCAGGGCUUGACAUAUACAUGAAAAUCUAAGAGAUUAGAUCCCUCUUCGGAGCAUGUAUACAGGUGGUGCAUGGUUGUCGUCAGCUCGUGUCGUGAGAUGUUGGGUUAAGUCCCGCAACGAGCGCAACCCCUGUUCUUAGUUGCCAGCAUGUAAAGAUGGGAACUCUAAGAAGACUGCCGGUGAUAAAUCGGAGGAAGGUGGGGACGACGUCAAAUCAUCAUGCCCUUUAUGUCCUGGGCUACACACGUACUACAAUGGCUGUAACAAAGGGAAGCGAACCCGCGAGGGGAAGCAAAACCCAUAAAAGCAGUCUCAGUUCGGAUUGAAGGCUGAAAUUCGCCUUCAUGAAGCCGGAAUUGCUAGUAAUGGCAGGUCAGCAUACUGCCGUGAAUACGUUCCCGGGCCUUGUACACACCGCCCGUCACACCAUGAGAGUUGGGGAUACCCGAAGCCUGUGAGCUAACUGUAAAGAGGCAGCAGUCGAAGGUAGAAUCAAUGAUUGGGGUGAAGU